rnacentral:lncRNA from 1 species
CUUCUCUUGCCACUUGAGCUCACUGUACACUUUCUCCAUCUCCCGCAGCCGCUUCCUGAAGGCAAAUUCCGUUGCAACUCUCUGGGCUUCAAGCUCGUUGUUGGUCUACGUGUGGGGUCAACCUUCAGCGAGAUGUUUGGGGAUCUGAGGUUGAGAGAGAGACAGCCUCUGUCGAUCUCUAGUGUCUCCAUUUUGCCCCGAUGGUCGGAGUUGAGCUGCUCCCGGGCCUCCUGGCGGAUCUGAUGGGAAGCAUCUCGCUGCAGCUGGGCAUUGGUGGAUAGCAGGUAGCUGUUAGUGUGCCAGUCGAAGAUAGUUGUGCUGCCAAGCAACUUGAGGUAAAGGCAUUAAAAGGGUUAGAC